CAUCUGACUAUAUUUUCUUAUAGCUACAUUACAUUCUAAGAUGUCAAAUUGUCAAUAAUUCUAUUUGCUUGGAACAUUAUUGUGGCUGAAGAAACUAACUAGGAAGCAGUUGCUUGAAGAUUAAAAUUAAAUACUAGGAAUGUUGAGUCUGGAAAGUAUGCAUAUUCAAUGUGGUAUGAACUAGAAAAAUCAAACUUACAUGUGGAUGGGCUUUUAUGAUGCAGAGAUAAUUUCAAACAUUGAUGGAAAGCAUAGGUUAACUUAAAAGGAGGGGUGAACUAGGGUUUAAACAAGAGUAUUAGGGUCAAGUUUCAGAUUGCUGGAGUACAGAAAUUGGAAUGGUCAGCUAGGGUUGAUAAGGUUAUAGUUUGAAUUAGUAGAAGAGCUAAGGCAAAUAGCUAACCGGGGGGGGGGGGUUAAAGAGUAGACUAAGGCAUUCGGCUGACCUGGCUUCAGCUUCUUUGCAGAUUUUGGACAUUUUACAUUAGGGUUAGUGUUGCUGUUCUGCUCAGGGAAAAAAAGCUGAGAUAUUGGAUUAAGCAUUAGGGUUUGUGUAGGGUUUAAGGGAGGUGAAAAGGGUUGCGAAUGAGAUUUAGGGUCUAGGUAAAAGGAUUAGAAAUGUUAUCAGUUCUGCCAUUCAGAGAAGGAGAUUAGGAGCAGAAUCAACAAGUGAAAAUAGUGGAAGGGUUGAACUAGAGAGAAGAAUAAGAAAUAUAAAGGGUUAAUAAUAGACUACUAGUGGGACGAGUGGAGACUACCUAGGUUUUUCAUGCAGAAACUUUCUCCAAACAAGUAAACCUCACUCAGA